GGGGGUGUGGCUCAGUGGUAGAGCGUCCGCUUUGCAUUGGCAAUUCUGCGGAAGGUCCAGGUUUCGAUCACCUGCUCCUCCA